UGAUUUGAAUAAAGAGGAGCUCUGUGAAUUCAGUCGGUCCCUGAAGUGGUUUUUCUCCCAGAAGAACCUCCCAGACAGCCCAUGGAUGUGGAUUGACCCAGAAGACAGAGAACUAAUAGUGGAUCUGAUGUUGGAGAUUUACGGCCAGCAGUCUGUAGAGGUGACCAGGGAUGUGUUCAUGGUAAUGAACCGGACUGAUCUGGUGCAGAGGCUGUCAAAGCCCAGCUCAGGACUCAAAGAGAAACACUCUGUGGAUGAACAUGGACCUGCACUGUCAGAGAGAGAAGUAACUAUGACAUCACUAACGGAGAAGCUUUUGGAAACGCUAAAAGAUUUAAGUUACG
rnacentral:lncRNA from 1 species